rnacentral:rRNA from 1 species
AUUGAACGCUGGCGGCAGGCCUAACACAUGCAAGUCGAGCGAGCGGCGGACGGGUGAGUAAUGUAUGGGGACUGCCCGAUAGAGGGGGAUAACUACUGGAAACGGUAGCUAAUACCGCAUACUAUCGGAUAACCCAUAUGGGAUUAGCUAGUAGGUGAGGUAAUGGCUCACCUAGGCGACGAUCCCUAGCUGGUCUGAGAGGAUGACCAGCGACAAAGGAACUGAGAAACGGGCCAGAAAACAAGGGAGGCAGAAGUGGGGAAUAUUGAACAAUGGGCGCAAGCCUGAUGCAGAAAAGCCGCGUGUGUGAAGAAGGCCGUCGGGUGGUAAAGCACUGUCAGCGAGGAGGCGGUACAAGAAGAAGAAGAACAGGCUAACUCCGUGCCAGCAGCCGCGGUAAUUC